rnacentral:rRNA from 1 species
UGAGGUGCUUGCACCUUAUCUUAGCGGCGGACGGGUGAGUAAUGCUUAGGAAUCUGCCUAUUAGUGGGGGACAACGUUCCGAAAGGAAUGCUAAUACCGCAUACGUCCUACGGGAGAAAGCAGGGGAUCUUCGGACCUUGCGCUAAUAGAUGAGCCUAAGUCGGAUUAGCUAGUUGGUGGGGUAAAGGCCUACCAAGGCGACGAUCUGUAGCGGGUCUGAGAGGAUGAUCCGCCACACUGGGACUGAGACACGGCCCAGACUCCUACGGGAGGCAGCAGUGGGGAAUAUUGGACAAUGGGGGGAACCCUGAUCCAGCCAUGCCGCGUGUGUGAAGAAGGCCUUAUGGUUGUAAAGCACUUUAAGCGAGGAGGAGGCUACUGAGACUAAUACUCUUGGAUAGUGGACGUUACUCGCAGAAUAAGCACCGGCUAACUCUGUGCCAGCAGCCGCGGUAAUACAGAGGGUGCGAGCGUUAAUCGGAUUUACUGGGCGUAAAGCGUGCGUAGGCGGCUUUUUAAGUCGGAUGUGAAAUCCCCGAGCUUAACUUGGGAAUUUCAUUCGAUACUGGGAAGCUAGAGUAUGGGAGAGGAUGGUAGAAUUCCAGGUGUAGCGGUGAAAUGCGUAGAGAUCUGGAGGAAUACCGAUGGCGAAGGCAGCCAUCUGGCCUAAUACUGACGCUGAGGUACGAAAGCAUGGGGAGCAAACAGGAUUAGAUACCCUGGUAGUCCAUGCCGUAAACGAUGUCUACUAGCCGUUGGGGCCUUUGAGGCUUUAGUGGCGCAGCU